rnacentral:telomerase_RNA from 1 species
ACAACAGGGUGGGCCCAGGAGAUGAGCCUGCUUAUUGAUAUCUAAACCCUAGUCACUCCCAUAUUACAAUGGGUUAUUAUCAACGGGGGUCUUUGGCCGGCGUUUCCCCUGAAAAAUAACUAAAAAACGACGAUGGCUACAUAAGAGGCUUGUCUCCAAAGUUGUAGUAAUGGGCCGGGUUGGUUCGUAGGUGGUUCUGUUGUAACUAGAAAGACUAUAGAGUAGUAGUGUCAGCGGUUAACCGUUUCCUCGCCUGCCCUUCCCACCCCAACUUUUUU